CACAGGUUGCCCAUUAUCAGAGAACCUCAUCCUUGAAUCAUUUGUAACCAGACUUCAUGGAUACUGGAAUUUUCAAGGACUAAGCUGAGCAUUACUUGGGAUCUGUCUACUUAAUCCUGAGACCUGGAAUUAAAGGCCUGUGAUACCACAUGCUGAUAUCAUCUUUAUGUAAGCUGUUGCUAUACAACUGGAUCUAUACUGAAUAAUCAAUGUAUGCUUGAAGUAA